GGACAUUUCAAAACCACGCUGAAAUCUUGGCCUGACAGAAAAUCAGGGUUUUCACUGUAGCAGCGAAACGGUUAAAAUUCUAGUCAGUUAAGAGCAAAGAUGGGUUGUUUACCUUCAAAAAAAGCAAAAGCCAAGAAACCUCAAGAAGCGGGAUAUCUUGCUGUGACUUUCAAAUUUGAAGACAUCCCUAUCCAAGCAGAAGAGACACAAGAACGGCAACCAAAACUGAUCGAAGUGGAGGAGGCCAAACUUGAACCCAAGUCCACCACCAGGUCGGCUUCAGCGAGGGAGCUGUUAGGAAGGCAAUUGUUUGGUGGAGGCCUAGCCUCUGGAUUCGGACAAUUUCAAACUAUGUUUUCCAAAAGAGUUGAGGAGGUCAAGGUGAUUAAAGAAAGACCGAUGCCUGUUUCGAGGAAACUUGAUUUGGCGUUUGUCUAUAAGGUUCCAAGAAGUAAACUCAACAUAAAUCCAUCUGAUGACAGUACGAAGGACUACUUUGUGGGUGAGGGUCAAGUAAAGGGUUUAAACGAGACGGAUGAGAAGACCAUACAGUUAUUGGACCACUUCCGCAUCUCAAGGCCUUGAUAACACGUAUUAUUACCUGAUUGUAGUUGACUUAUUACGUACACCUUGCAAUAUGUGUUCUGUAACGCAGGACGAGCCUCAGUCAAGUAUUCAGGAAAUAGAAACAGAUAAGUUCUUCUAAUUCAAGUAUUCGUUGAGCUAACGACUCGAGUACUGCCUCUCCAUGAGACUCCCUUGUAGACGAGAGGUGCAGACGACAACAACAACAAACCUCUAAAAUUUGAAGCGGUCACCGGACCGGACUGUGUUGAAGACCCGGAUGCGGGCGGAUAUCGCCGGAUGCGGGCUGUUAUUGAUAUUUUAUUACACGGGCGGGCAAUAUCAAUUAUUGGAAUGAAACAGUAUCACAUAUGCAAUUUGGUCGAUAUUUAAAGCAAGUAUAUGAUAAUUUAGUUUAAUCCAUGACUUCAGUGUACAGUUGUAAAACGCGGCAUCCGAAAAUCAUUUAGUAAGUAUAAACAAAACAGUCUUUUAAUCGACAAUAUGGAAUUUGAGGAGCUAAUUGCAAAUUGGUAAUAUGUGAUAUUUCAGUCAAAUGAAUUAUGUACGGUGUUUAAGUGUCUGUAUCACCCUUAGGUGUACUGUUACUUAAACUGGAAACAGUUAACGAGAACACCGAAUGAAUAACCGAAAAGACGUAUAACUAAGUGGUAAUAAAAGAAGUAUUUGAAUGAUGAGAUCAACAUUAUGUUUGGAAAACGUGCUCGUUUUUGGAACCAAAGGUUAUUUUUUCAUGUUUGUCCUAUCUGAAGUAUCUUUUUUUAAAUCUUUGAAAACAUGUAUCAAAUAAAAUUUCAAAACUGUGUUCUCAAUAAAGAAGUAACUAAUUUCUGCAAAAUAGUGCGUUAGAAUGAAAUAUAGUCCUGGUCAAUGUAUAUUUGUACUUGAAUAUUGGUCUACCGAUAUUGGUCUAAUCGGUAUUGACUACUAUAUAAAUGUAGCUUUCGUUUGCGGCUCCAAUAUUUGUUCUUCUAAGAAAUCUAUUUCUUAAUUCUAAUUACACAACAUUGUUCUGUAAUUCUCAAAUAAUAUAAGAAGCGGAUGCUAUAUCUAAUUCUUUUGACAUGGCUACUAUUUAUAAUACAUAUAUUUUUAGCACGGCAUUUGGGUUGCCUUGACGACAGAUUAUUUUUCUGAAAAUGCAUUAUACUCAAAACCAGAUACAAUAAAAGAAUGUUCAAGGCUUCUGUCGAAAAAAAUGGUAAAACAAACUCAAAUGAAAAACCUGUCUUUGUUUCCUAUGUAUUUUUCAUUCUGUUAAAAGUCAACGACUUUGUCAGUUCUACGUUAAUUAAUACUGUCCGCAUUUACUUGCUAGAUAACUACACCACAUGUUAGAUUUCAGGGUCGUGAUUGGAUAUCCACAUACAUUCUAUUGAGUAUAGUCUACUCUGUACCUGAAGACGCAUUUUCUCUUACCCUUGAUAGGUGUAGUCACACUUUCCCCGGUUUGAUAUUAUAUUAUUCUUUUACCUUGUUGACUUUGUCAUAUACAGUGAGUGUACUAAAUGCAUUGUUGUGGUUUUGGGUUCAAUGCAAUGAUGGCGUGACGUUAAAGCAUUGUUGACGGGACGCCAUUUCCUACAUGGAAAGUUUUAACUAAGUUAAUGAUUAUGCUUUAAAAUUCACAAAAAGUAUAUGCGCUAAUCAGUGACCAAGCUAAUCACAUUUGGAACAAUUUCGCCCUUGAGUCAUUGACCAUGUCCCAAAGUCACGGGUCGAUUAUUUUAUCCUUAAGAGUAAGAUAUAGCAAAGUCCCAUGGCAAACGAUGUGUUCGAAUGCGUUGUCUCAUGAAAUAUUAGGUUAAGAAGGAAUACAGCCAGAGUGAAGGAAAGAAUUCAGGUAUAGUAUAUGGACGUCUAUUAGAAUCUUAAUGGAUUCUUAACUAGAGGGGAAAGAUUCUUAAGUUGUUGUAUCCCUCGGUUUGAGAUUCCCCUAUCUCAUCCACAGGGGGGUGAAAUAUUCUAUUAUUCUAUCCCAUUAGACAGAGAUAUCUACAUUUCCAGUCAGGGAAAGUUUAUAUAUUAGCCUCACCUAAGGGCUGAGACGGGGGAAUUUCGAUCUCAAAACAUUUGUAUUAUCUCACUAAUUAGCAUAGGCCGUGAUCAAUUCUAGCCCACCAUAAUAAAAACGAUAGCUUGGAUAAUCAUAGAUAUUAAAUGAUUUUUAUGAUAG
rnacentral:misc_RNA from 1 species